UACGUAGGGUGCAAGCGUUGUCCGGAAUUAUUGGGCGUAAAGAGCUCGUAGGCGGUCUGUCGCGUCGGCUGUGAAAACUCGGGGCUCAACUCCGAGCUUGCAGUCGAUACGGGCAGGCUAGAGUUCGGCAGGGGAGACUGGAAUUCCUGGUGUAGCGGUGAAGUGCGCAGAUAUCAGGAGGAACACCGGUGGCGAAGGCGGGUCUCUGGGCCGAUACUGACGCUGAGGAGCGAAAGCGUGGGGAGCGAACAGG
rnacentral:rRNA from 1 species